UCUUCUUCAAGCAAAAAUUAAAAUAAAAACAACCCACCACCCAUUCAUUGACACAUGGAAGAUGAAAGAGAGGAAAAAAAACAAAAUGAAAAACACAUGUAUUAGCAAGGCAGGCAAAACAACAUCAGCAACAACUCAAACCACUCUAUCAUCAUACCAUUUUACUAUCUCUUCUUCCUCACUCUAUUAUUCAUACAAAAUCUUUAUUAUUAAACAACACAAAUACCACAUCAU
rnacentral:lncRNA from 1 species